AGUGGCGCACGGGUGAGUAACGCGUGGGCACCUACCCUGAAGUGGGGAACAACCGCUGGAAACGGCGGCUAAUACCGCAUACGGACUUCGGUUGAAAGCUUUAUGCGCUUCAGGAUGGGCCCGCGUCGGAUUAGUUAGUUGGUGUGGUAAAGGCGCACCAAGACAUCGAUCCGUAGCUGGUCUGAGAGGAUGAUCAGCCACACUGGAACUGAGACACGGUCCAGACUCCUACGGGAGGCAGCAGUGGGGAAUAUUGGACAAUGGGGGCAACCCUGAUCCAGCCAUGCCGCGUGAAUGAAGAAGGCCUUAGGGUUGUAAAGUUCUUUCACCCGCGAAGAUGAUGACGGUAGCGGGAGAAGAAGCCCCGGCUAACUCCGUGCCAGCAGCCGCGGUAAUACGGAGGGGGCAAGCGUUGUUCGGAAUUACUGGGCGUAAAGGGCGCGUAGGCGGAUUGGUUAGUCAGAUGUGAAAUCCCCGAGCUUAACUUGGGAACUGCAUUUGAUACUGCUGAUCUAGAGUCCGGGAGAGGAUAGUGGAAUUCCCAGUGUAGAGGUGAAAUUCGUAGAUAUUGGGAAGAACACCAGUGGCGAAGGCGGCUAUCUGGACCGGGACUGACGCUGAGGCGCGAAGCGUGGGGAGCAAACAGGAUUAGAUACCCUGUAGGUCCACGUCGA
rnacentral:rRNA from 1 species